AGAGUUCGAUCCUGGCUCAGAACGAACGCUGGCGGCGCGUCUUAAGCAUGCAAGUCGAGCGGGAACAGAUAGCUUGCUAUCUGCGAGAGCGGCGGACUGGUGAGUAACACGUGGGUGACGCACCCUUCGGACGGGGAUAGCCUGUAGAAAUACAGGAUAAUACCGGAUACGAAUCCACAGGUUAGAGAUGUGGAUGGAAAGCCCCUACGGGGGCGCCGGAGGAGCGGCCCGCGGCCCAUCAGCUGGUAGGUGAGGUAAAGGCCCACCUAGGCAAUGACGGGUAUCCGGCCUCAGAGGGUGGACGGACACAUUGGGACUGAGAUACGGCCCAGACUCCUACGGGAGGCAGCAGCUAAGAAUAUUCCGCAAUGGGGGGAACCCUGACGGAGCGACGCCGCGUGGACGAUGAAGGCCGGAAGGUUGUAAAGUCCUUUUGCGGGUGAGGAAUAAGGACCGGAGGGAAUGCCGGUACGAUGACUGUAACCUGCGAAUAAGCAACGGCUAAUUACGUGCCAGCAGCCGCGGUAACACGUAAGUUGCGAGCGUUGUUCGGAAUCAUUGGGCGUAAAGGGCAUGUAGGCGGUUACGCAAGCCUGGUGUGAAAGCCCGAGGCUCAACCUCGGGAUGCGCCGGGAACUGUGCAACUAGAGUAGCUGAGGGGCAGCCGGAAUUCCAGGUGUAGGGGUGAAAUCUGUAGAUAUCUGGAAGAACACCGAUGGCGAAGGCAGGCUGCCAGCAGAUUACUGACGCUGAGGUGCGAAGGUGCGGGGAGCGAACAGGAUUAGAUACCCUGGUAGUCCGCACAGUAAACGAUGCACACUGGGUGUCCGCCCAUGAGGGUGGGUGCCGAAGCAAACGCGAUAAGUGUGCCGCCUGGGGAGUAUGCCCGCAAGGGUGAAACUCAAAGGAAUUGACGGGGGCCCGCACAAGCGGUGGAGCAUGUGGUUUAAUUCGA
rnacentral:rRNA from 1 species